GGAGAAGCAGCACUGAAAAAAGAUGGAAAGCCUCUGCUCUGCCAUGGACCUUGGAGUCUUUUUCAGUCCCUCCCCUUCUUAGCCAGGACUGACAGAUAAGGAUGUAGAGAUCAAGAUCAAGUUUUUGACUAGCUGAUGUUUGAAAUGUCACUGCUGAACUUCUGAGCUUUGAGAUAUGCAAGAGAACUAUCAAGUCCUCCCAGAACCAAGUAGAGAACAGGCUGCUACAUAUCGCUCUCAGUUGCAUGGUGAGAUCAGCUCUCUAUCUGUGGGGCCUCUCCCCUGGACACAAGUCUCUCAAAUAAACCACAAGUCCAGAGAAGUAACAUUCUGCUAUUACCAGUUUUCCCAGGGUAAGACUGACAAAGCCGGAGACCCUGUCCGCCUGUCCUCAAGAGGAUGUUUUUGAAUGAAGGAGCUACAUUUCCAGCUUUCAAAGGAAGUAACAGGCAGUGCUACAUAAAGAACCUGAGGACAGGAUGAUGAGUGUUUGUGGGACCUAGGAGGUAAGCCCCACCUUGCAGGAGGUGCAAACUUCUGGGUCUUCAGAGAUGGGACAAUGUCAUACGUAUAGGAUGUCACAUUACAUUCUGCUCUUUCCAUUCUCCGUCUAUGAGGGAUUGCCACUUAGGAAGGCAAGUCUUUAUGAUAUAAGGACCUGUUUGCCUAUUUCAAACAAUCUUUUUCUCUCUUAUCUUGCAUCUCUCACUUUUUGUUUUUUUGAAUUAACUUAAAAAACAAACACUCUUUUUGGACCUUCAAGGUGUUGCCAAUUUUUCGCUAUUACAAACAUUACCAUGAUACACAUCUCUAUACAUACAUUGUAGUCUAUUUGUCCAAUUAGUUCCUCAGAAUAAAUUCCUAGAAGUACAACUGCUGAAUCA
rnacentral:lncRNA from 1 species